GUAGGGAAUAUUGGUCAAUGGAGGCAACUCUGAACCAGCCAUGCCGCGUGCAGGAUGAAGGCCCUCUGGGUUGUAAACUGCUUUUAUCAGGGAAGAAACCACCGGAUUCAUCUGGUGUUGACGGUACCUGAGGAAUAAGCACCGGCUAACUCCGUGCCAGCAGCCGCGGUAAUACGGAGGGUGCAAGCGUUAUCCGGAUUUACUGGGUUUAAAGGGUGCGUAGGUGGAAUUAUAAGUCAGUGGUGAAAGCCUCGAGCUCAACUCGUGAAUUGCCAUUGAUACUGUUUUUCUUGAGUACGAUUGAGGUGAGUAGAAUAUGUCAUGUAGUGGUGAAAUACUUAGAUAUGACAUAGAAUACCGAUUGCGAAGGCAGCUCACUAAAUCGUAACUGACGCUGAGGCACGAAAGCGUGGGGAUCAAACAGGAUUAGAUACCCCAGUAGUCC
rnacentral:rRNA from 1 species